UACGGGGGGAGCAAGCGUUGUUCGGAUUUACUGGGCGUAAAGGGCGCGUAGGCGGCGUGACAAGUCACUUGUGAAAUCUCCGGGCUUAACCCGGAACGGUCAGGUGAUACUGUUUUGCUAGAGUGCGGAAGGGGCAAUCGGAAUUCUUGGUGUAGCGGUGAAAUGCGUAGAUAUCAAGAGGAACACCUGAGGUGAAGACGGGUUGCUGGGCCGACACUGACGCUGACAGCGCGAAAGCCAGGGGAGCAAACGGG
rnacentral:rRNA from 1 species